GAGUUUGAUCUUGGCUCAGAUUGAACGUUGGCGGCGUGCCUAACACAUGCAAGUCGAUCGGUAACGCGGGGCAACCUGGCGACGAGAGGCGGACGGGUGAGCAAUGCUUGGGAAUCUGCCUAUUAGUGGGGGAUAACCAGCCGAAAGGUUGGCUAAUACCGCAUACGCACUACGGUGGAAAGCCGGGGACCGCAAGGCCUGGCGCUAUUAGAUGAGCCCAAGUCGGAUUAGCUGGUUGGUGAGGUAACGGCUCACCAAGGCGACGAUCCGUAGCUGGUCUGAGAGGACGACCAGCCACACCGGAACUGAGACACGGUCCGGACUCCUACGGGAGGCAGCAGUGGGGAAUAUUGGACAAUGGGCGAAAGCCUGAUCCAGCGACGCCGCGUGGGUGAAGAAGGCCUGCGGGUUGUAAAGCCCUUUCGGUUGGGAAGAAAAGUAUCGACCUAACACGUCGGUACC
rnacentral:rRNA from 1 species